UACGUAGGGUGCGAGCGUUGUCCGGAAUUAUUGGGCGUAAAGAGCUCGUAGGCGGUAUGUCGCGUCUGCUGUGAAAGACCGGGGCUUAACUUCGGUUUUGCAGUGGAUACGGGCAUGCUUGAGGUAGGUAGGGGAGACUGGAAUUCCUGGUGUAGCGGUGAAAUGCGUAGAUAUCGGGAGGAACACCAGCGGCGAAGGCGGCUUUCUGGCCUAUGACUGACCCUGAUGGACGAAAGCUAGGGGAGCAAACAGGAUUAGAUACCCGGGUAGUCCCU
rnacentral:rRNA from 1 species